rnacentral:rRNA from 1 species
CUACCACAUCCAAGGAAGGCAGCAGGCGCGCAAAUUACCCACUCCCAGAUCGGGGAGGUAGUGACGAAAAAUAACAAUACGGGACUCUUUUGAGACCCCGUAAUUGGAAUGAGUACACUCCAAAUACUUGUUCGAAAAUCUAUUGGAGGGCAAGCCAGGUGCCAGCCGCUGCGGUAAUUCCUGCUCCAAUAGCGUAUAUUAAAGUUGUUGCGGUUAAAAAGCUCGUAGUUGGAUCUCAGUUCCAGACGGGUGGUCCGCCUACCGGUGGUUACUGCCUGUUCUGAACAGCCCGCCGGUUUCCUUUGAUGAUCUUCAUCGGUUGUCUUUGGUGACCGGCAAGUUUACUUUGAAAAAAUUAGAGUGCUCAAAGCAGGCGUGACGCCUGAAUAAUGGUGCAUGGAAUAAUGGAAUAGGACCUCGGUUCUAUUUUGUUGGUUUUCGGAACACGAGGUAAUGAUUAAGAGGGACAGACGGGGGCAUUCGUAUUGCGACGCUAGAGGUGAAAUUCUUGGACCGUCGCAAGACGAACUACUGCGAAAGCAUUUGCCAAGAAUGUUUCCAUUAAUCAAGAACGAAAGUUAGAGGUUCGAAGGCGAUCAGAUACCGCCCUAGUUCUAACCAUAAACGAUGCCAGCCAGCGAUCCGGCUGUGUUCCUCAAAUGACACGCCGGGAAGCUUCCGGGAAACCAAAGCUUUUGGGUUCCGGGGGAAGUAUGGUU